rnacentral:lncRNA from 1 species
GGAAUACUGAAGUGACUGUUAGUGGUUUUUCAUAUCGCUUAUGUAAAACGUUUUGCAUCAAAGCUUGGAAUAGGGAAGCCCUCCCCCGCUGAGUGAGGCCCUGUACACCUCUGUGCAGCACUCCCCUCUGCUGGAUGGAGUCAGGUCAAGGAAUGGGCCAGCCUGGUCUGCCAUUGCUCAGCACAUUUGAAGGUAUCUCGUCUUAGAAACAACUCAGAGAAACAGUGCCUACUAGACAGCUCAGGAGACUGUGAGGUGGCUUGGCCGAACCUUUUUGGAUACCUGUGGGUGCCGUUGACACAGCUCCAUUGUGUCUUGGGCUCUGCCACAUGCUGGCAGGUGUAAGGAUUAUGGACGGGAUGUCUCUGUGUCACCAGCUAAGUGCUUGAAGUUUUGUGACAUCAUUUCAGUGUAAAGGAAUUGCACCUACAUCCAUCUCAAGCAAAAGUCUUCCAUCUGGUGGACCAGCUUCUUCCUUGGUCAGUUAAGGAGAGAAUGGUGGCCUGGAUAUUCUGACCUAUGCCUGGGCCUGGAGGUCUGUAGCAGUAGGACUUGAUGCCUUCCUCCCAAGUCUUUGUGACUCUGGACACUCCCGUCAGGUCAGGGAGCUCCCCUGGAAGCAGGGUUGGGGAAGCCUAUGUGCCCUCAGCC